rnacentral:rRNA from 1 species
GUGUCAGCAGCCGCGGUAAGACGAACCGUGCGAACGUUGUUCGGAAUCACUGGGCUUAAAGGGCGCGUAGGCGGGUUCUCCAGUCAGGGGUGAAAUCGUUCGGCUCAACCGGACAAGUGCCCCUGAUACUGAGAGUCUCGAGGGAGGUAGGGGCAUGUGGAACUUCCGGUGGAGCGGUGAAAUGCGUAGAUAUCGGAAGGAACGCCGGUGGCGAAAGCGACGUGCUGGACCUCUUCUGACGCUGAGGCGCGAAAGCCAGGGGAGCAAACGGGAUUAGAAACCCUCGUAGUCC